rnacentral:lncRNA from 8 species
AUGCCCUCUGGGGCUGCAGACAGACAGGUCUGUUCCCAUGCCCUCUGGGGCUGCAGGCAGACAGGUCUGUUCCCAUGCCCUCUGGGGCUGCAGACAGACAGGUCUGUUCCCAUGCUCUGUUGGGCUGCAGACAGACAGGUCUGUUCCCAUGCUCUGUUGGGCUGCAGACAGACAGGUCUGUUCCCAUGCUCUGUUGGGCUGCAGACAGACAGGUCUGUUCCCAUGCUCUGUUGGGCUGCAGACAGACAGGUCUGUUCCCAUGCCCUCUGGGGCUGCAGACAGACAGGUCUGUUCCCAUGCCCUCUGGGGCUGCAGACAGACAGGUCUGUUCCCAUGCCCUCUGGGGCUGCAGACAGACAGGUCUGUUCCCAUGCCCUCUGGGGCUGCAGACAGACAGGUCUGUUUGCAUGCCCUCUGGGGCUGCAGACAGACAGGUCUGUUCCCAUGCCCUCUGGGGCUGUAGACAGACAGGUCUGUUCCCAUGCCCUCUGGGGCUGCAGGCAGACAGGUCUGUUCCCAUGCCCUCUGGGGCUGCAGACAGACAGGUCUGUUCCCAUGCUCUGUUGGGCUGCAGACAGACAGGUCUGUUCCCAUGCUCUGUUGGGCUGCAGACAGACAGGUCUGUUCCCAUGCUCUGUUGGGCUGCAGACAGACAGGUCUGUUCCCAUGCUCUGUUGGGCUGCAGACAGACAGGUCUGUUCCCAUGCUCUGUUGGGCUGCAGACAGACAGGUCUGUUCCCAUGCCCUCUGUUGGGCUGCAGACAGACAGGUCUGUUCCCAUGCCCUCUGGGGCUGCAGACAGACAGGUCUGUUCCCAUGCCCUCUGGGGCUGCAGACAGACAGGUCUGUUCCCAUGCCCUCUGGGGCUGCAGACAGACAGGUCUGUUUGCAUGCCCUCUGGGGCUGCAGACAGACAGGUCUGUUCCCAUGCCCUCUGGGGCUGCAGACAGACAGGUCUGUUUCCAUGCCCUCUGGGGCUGCAGGCAGACAGGUCUGUUUCCAUGCCCUCUCCUGCCUCCUCCUCUCCUCCGACGUCAGUCUCAGGAAGUCUCCAAAUUCCUCCAACAGCUCAGCAUUAUGUCCUGCUUUCCCCCUCUCUACUCCUCACUCACCUCUCUCUUCCUCUCUCCCCUCUACUCCUCUCUCUAUUCUUCCCCCUCUACUUCCUUUUCACCUCUUAUUUUCCCUCUCUCUCUUACAUUAAUGUACAGGAGUGUUACAAGUGAAACUUUAUAUUACUCACAAUUCCCUCCCUCUCUCUCUCCCCCCCUCCCCUUCUCCUCCUCCUCCCUCUCAACCCCCCUCCCCUUCUCCUCCUCUCUCCCCCCCUCCCCUUCUCCUCCUCUCUCUCCCCCCAGCACCUGCGUCUGUCGGUGA